ACUCUCGGCAACGGAUAUCUCGGCUCUCGCAUCGAUGAAGAACGUAGCGAAAUGCGAUACCUGGUGUGAAUUGCAGAAUCCCGCGAACCAUCGAGUCUUUGAACGCAAGUUGCGCCCGAGGCCACUCGGCCGAGGGCACGCCUGCCUGGGCGUCACGCCAAAACACGCUCCCAACCCCCUCAUCGGGAAUCAGGAUGCGACAUAUGGUCCAUCGUCUCGCAAGGAGCGGUGGACCGAAGAUCGGGCUGCCGGUGUACCGCGCCGGACACAGCGCAUGGUGGGCGUCCUUGCUUUAUCAACGCAGUGCAUCCGACGCGCAGCCGACAUGAUGGCCUCAAAAUGACCCAGCAAACAAAGCACACGUCGCUUCGACCGCGACUCCAGGUCAGGCGGGACUACUCGUUGAGAUUAAGCAUAUAAAUAAGCGGAGGAGAAGAAACUUACAAGGAUUCCCCUAGUAACAGCGAGCGAACCGGGAGCAGCCCAGCUUGAGAAUCGGGCGGCUGUGCCGUCCGAAUUGUAGUCUGGAGAGGCGUCCUCAGCGACGGACCGGGCCCAAGUCCCCUGGAAAGGGGCGCCUGGGAGGGUGAGAGCCCCGUCCGGCCCGGACCCUGUCGCCCCACGAUGCGCCGUCAACGAGUCGGGUUGUUUGGGAAUGCAGCCCAAAUCGGGCGGUAGACUCCGUCCAAGGCUAAAUACAGGCGAGAGACCGAUAGCGAACAAGUACCGCUAGGGAAAGAUGAAAAGGACUUUGAAAAGAGAGUCAAAGAGUGCUUGAAAUUGCCGGGAGGGAAGCGGAUGGGGGCCGGCGAUGCGCCCCGGCCGUAUGCGGAACGACUCUUGCUGGUCCGCCGCUCGGCUCGGGGUGUAGACUGUUGUCGGCCGCGCCGACGGCCAAAGCCCGGGGGCCCUAGGUGCCCCCGGUGGCCGUCGUCGGCAUGGCCGGUACCCGCGGGCCCAAAGGCGUGUCCCUCGGGGCACUACGCUGCAACGGCCUGCGGGCUCCCCAUCUGACCCGUCUUGAAACACGGACCAAGUAGUCUGACAUGCGUGCGAGUCGACGGGUUCUGAAACCUGGGAUGCGGAAGGAAGCUGACGAGCGGGAGGCCCUCACAGGCCGCACCGCUGGCCGACCCUGAUCUUCUGUGAGGGGUUCGAGUUGGAGCACACCUGUUGGGACCCGAAGGAUGGUGAACUAUGCCUGAGCGGGGAGAAGCCAGAGGAAACUCUGGUGGAGGCUCGAAGCGAUAAUGACGUGCAAAUCGUUCGUCUGACUUGGGUAUAGGGGUGAAAGACUAAUCGAACCAUCUAGUAGCUGGUUCCCUCCGAAGUUUCCCUCAGGAUAGCUGGAGCCCAUUACGAGUCCUAUCAGGUAAAGCCAAUGAUUCGAGGCAUCGGGGAUGCAACGUCCUCGACCUAUUCUCAAACUUUAAAUAGGUAGGAUGGCGCGGCUGCUUCGGUGAGCCGUGCCAUGGAAUCGGGUGCUCGAAGUGGGCCAUUUUUGGUAAGUAGAACUGGCGAUGCGGGAUGAACCGGAAGCCGGGUUACGGUGCCCAACUACGCGCUAACCUACAACCCACAAAGGGUGUUGGUCGAUUAAGACAGCAGGACGGUGGUCAUGGAAUUCGAAAUCCGCUAAGGAGUGUGUAACAACUCACCUGCCGAAUCAACUAGCCCCGAAAAUGGAUGGCGCUGAAGCGCGCAACCCACACCCGGCCAUCUGGGCGAGCGCCAUGCCUCGAUGAGUAGGAGGGCGCGACGGCCGCUGCAAAACCUGGGGCGCGAGCCCGGGAGGAGCGGCCAUCGGUGCAGAUCUUGGUGGUAGUAGCAAAUAUUCAAAUGAGAACUUUGAAGGCCGAAGAGGAGAAAGGUUCCAUGUGAACGGCACUUGCAGAUGGGUAAGCCGAUCCUAAGGGACGGGGUAACCCCGGCAGAUAGCGCGAUCACGCGCAUCCCCUGAAAGGGAAUCGGGUUAAGAUUUCCAGAGCCGGGAUGUGGCGGUUGACGACGACGUUAGGAAUUCCGGAGACACCGGCGGGGGCCUCGGGAAGAGUUGUCUUUUCUGCUUAACGGCCUGCCAA
rnacentral:rRNA from 1 species